AACAAAACAAUGGAGUUUGUUACUCAUAUUUGGGCUCUGAAUGCAAAUCAUCUUUGGAAUGCGGUCGAAAUUCAAACAUGUCCUGCAUUGACGGAACAUGUACGUGCAGUACAGGCUUUCUUCUUAGGGAAUCCGAAUGCAUCUGGGUUAUGGAUGCCGGAUGCAGUUCGACUGACGAGUGCUUGUAUGAAGGAUUCGAAUGCAAGAAUACAGACAUAGGAUCUUUUUGUCGCUGUCCAAU